CGCCAUCUUGAAAUCGCGCGUGUUUCCAUGGCAACAUAGCUGCCACGCGCGGAUAAAAGCAAUAUGGCGGCUGAAAAAAGUUGGUCACUCAAACAUUUAAAAUUGAAUAAAUGUUGUAUUCAUUUUGAGGAUGUUUCACAAUCACUUCUAAAGGUCACAGAGAAGCGUCUGAAGAGAUUUGUUGCUUGUCGUGAGAAAUUGGCGAAGCUCAAAGACCAGAAAUCUGUCACAAAUCGGACUUGUUUACUAGCGAAGAUGGGAUCAUGGGGCCACCACUUAAUUAUAAUACGAGAGUUUCUGAGGGGGGUUGAAAAGGCUGUUUCUGAGGGGUUGUGUGCAUCGGCAUCUUUUGAUCUUUGCGUUCUUUCUGAGGGGUAAGGCAAACAUUUCUUAAUUUGGGGGGGGG